AGGCAUGGGGAACAAUAGAGAGAAGUGAGGAGAUUUCAGAUGGAACAAACCAGCGAGCCUCUGGUCAUAUUUGCUUCAAAUUUGAAGCAUUAAAGUAACCGUAGUGGCUGUGGAAUCCAGCUAGCUGGACAUGUGAUAUGUGGUGAAUAAGAAGCUGGGAUCCUGAUCCCAUGAGCAGGACUGGAUAAACCUCAUAAAAGCCCCUCUGCAGCUGCAUGGAUGUCUGGACCUUGUUUAACCAUAGUUGAGGAGUCACCAGGCCUUUAAAGACGCAGAUGUUCUCUCCUCCGUUGACCUGCUGGAGAACCUUCAGCUCAUCCUGGGUUGAACUCCGGUGACCUUGUCCCAGAUGAGCACAACAACAACGUCAGACAAAAAUGCAGCUGUGAUGCAAAAACUGUCUAUUUCCAAAAUGUCAACUUUUUCAAGAGGUAAGAAAAGCUGCAUGUCUAAAUCAGCAUAUUUGGAAAUCUAAGUUUUUUACUAAGCAAUGCAACAAAAAUUACACCUAAAGUAUGUGCUGUUGAGAAUAGGGAAAUACAAAUAAUACAAAUACUUUUUACAUUUAUACAUAUUACGCUCAUAACUUCCAUUACUUCCUUCCGUCACCAUUUAUUUUUGUGCGUAGAACCCACACAUUUCUAGCGAUAACAACAGCACUUGGGCUUUAGUACAUUAAGUGUCACAAUGGGACAUAAUGUGAAAGCACCCGUCCAGGAUCCGACCCCACUUCCAUGUACUGUGUCAGCGGAUGGCACUGGUGGCCCGUUCCAUCUGUGCAGAGCAGCAGGGGUGCCGGAGCUGAACCCGGCUGGAGACCAGCAGAGCCAUGUGGCAAGCUGGCACCUCCUUGACAGGAACAUGGAACAGGCCACGUCCUUGGAGCCCAGCUAAAAAAGAAAAUAAUGAAGCCCUUAAUGUAAUCUCACUUGUGUCACAUUUAUCAUUAGAUUUGUGGCUGGGAACAAAGAAGGAAUGUGCCGAUUCCAGAGCCUGAAAAAUUGACCAAAACUAUGUUAAUUUGGUGUUUAUGCUGCCUGCUGCCCUUCAGUGACACAGUAUUUAUAUAUUUGAUUUUAGAGAAAACAUUCAACCUUCUAAUACAACCCAUAUUAGCAUAGUGUCACAGAUGCAAUGCCUUUGAAAAUUAUUCAUCCCUCUUUGAAGUUUUUCACUUUUAUUGCUUUUCAUCAUUGAAUCAUGGUCAACUGGAUUUAUUUUUUGACAAGAACCCAUGUUAAAUCUUGACUAGAGUUUGUCAAAAGCCAUUUGGGAGAUGCUCAAGUCAACUGGAAGAAGGUUCUCACGUUCGGCCAUCAGAGUAGAUGUUAUGUUUGGUGUGCUACAGUGAAGCAUGGUGGUGGCAGGAUCAUUAUCUGGACUAUGGAUGCAGCAGCGGCAUAAUUUGAAGCAUGUUGUUGGCAGCAUCAUGAUGCAGAGAUACUUAUCUUGGUGGCAGGUCCUGGAAAGCUUGUAAAGAUAAAAGGCAAAUGCAGCAAAGUAGAAAAAAUCCUGGAGGAUAACUGGGAGAGUUUUUGUUUGUUUCAUUUUGUCUGCAAAUUCUUUUCAAAAAAGUCAUAUUAUAUUGACCACGAUUCGAUGUUGAAAGGCAAUAAAAGGGGAAAACUUGCAGGGGCGAUGAACAGUUUUUAGAGCCAUCACAAACUCUUCAACAUCGUUGAGGAAAAAAUAUUAGACGAUCCUGCAGUAGAAGUUUAGUUAUGUUAAGGUACAAAAACAAACCGGUUAGAUUUGACAAAAUGAGUUAAAAUAAGUAUUCUGUUAAAGUUGGACCAUUGUCAUCCACAUAGGGCCAGUGGUUUGUCCACCCAUGCAUACACCCCAAGCUCCUCUCUACGUUGAUUUUGCAGCACUAUAACAAAAACUAAAUCACACCAGUUCCUCUUUUCUUGCUUGAUAUAAACACAUUUUGUUUUGGUCAUUUGCAAAAACAAGUCCUACAGGAGGUUGCUUCACCAUAAAUUAAAACUAGAUUGUAACCAGCUGCUUACACAAACAAUCUAAAGGGCUUUUUUUUUUAAUGGAAGGACAAUCUCCCUUUACAGCAGGAGGGUUCUGGUUUUGACACUGAGUACAUGAAUAUUAAUACAGUUUGCAUAUUUGAUGUACUCCUCAAUUGCCUAUGUCUCAGUGCUAAUGUAUGUGAGAACUGUUCGUGUGCGAGGCUUAAGAAACUUCUUUUUCCAGCAUCUGCCUCCCAUAUUUCCUCAGACUAUUACAUGGUUUCAAGAGAAUAUGCGCCACAUAAUGUAUAAUAAUGAACUUAUUGUGUGAUUUUAUAGCGUCUAUUCACUAUUUAUAUUCCUUGCUUCUUGUGUUUUCCUCAACAUCUUCCCAGAACCACAUCUUUAUUCAUGUUUGGAGUCUGUCUAAGUCAUAUUGUUAUUCAGUUUCUCCUUUUUCUUUUGAUUUCUGUUUGCUCUUCACAUACAACACGGAUUUGGUCCAUCCUGGAAGAGAGAAUUUGGAAUUGGAAUAAAAUAUAUUUUGAGUGCAUAACCAGCAUUUUUGUCUUAUUUAUUGUGUUACAUUCUAAAUUUAACUCCAAAUUGUGAGUGGAAUUACAGUGGAAACUUUACACUAUACACUCGUGGGGGAUAACAGAUGGGUGAUUGUGUUACUACUCUGCAUUUGACCUUAGUUUUCCCGGAUACCUGAGAAAGCAGCAGUGUAACUUAUAAUCCAGUGACCUUUUAGACAACAAGACCACGAUAGGAGCGCAAAUUACAAGUGUACAAAGCAAGACUACAGGCUGAAUGAAUAAAUUAACCAGGCCUUAACAUGUAUUCCCUUUGAAAAAUAUGUUCCUUUUUGGAAUUCAUCCAGGAAUUGGAGCUCACAUGUCAGGGCUAAAAUCCAAACUGACUUGUACGCCAUGAGCCAGGUGAAUCAGAGUCACAUCCACUCGAGCUGUUUUUCUCUUCUGCCCGAUAGACUGUGAAGUGGAACCAUCAUGAAAUCCCUGCUGGAGUGUUGCAGACAUGAUAUUAGUGAGUCUGACAUGAAGGUGUGACUCUGCAGGUCUAUGCUCCAUUUAUCACACAGCAGGGUUCCCUCCAAUGGAAAUAUCUCCUGAGAGAAACUCUGGCUACUGAGGACAUAAUUAGCUGUUGUUCACUAGAGAACAAAAGCACAAAGAAAUAUCUUUUACUUUGCGUUUUGUUCUACCUGUUCUGUUCAAGAAGUAUUGAUACAGAAACUGAUGUGUGACUAUCAGCUGGUCUGUUGCAUCGUCUAACAUAAAACCAACCAUUGCCACUUUUUAGGAGAAGGAAAGGUAAGAAUGACUCAUUUAGAACCUUGCAAACAUAAAAGAAGACUGUUUUCAUCGAGCUGAAUCUCUGAUUGAUCUGUCGCACCAAAACAAGGAGCUGCUGCUAAUGUGUGGAGUUUAACCGGAGAUCCGUCUCACACAGAGUUAGACAUCCUGUUAGGAACUUCGUUAGAUCUCAGGGAACAUAAUAAUCUUGUUUAAAGUGAGUGAGAUACAGCAGUGAAAUCCAUUCUCUUCACUUGAACAAAACACCCCCGGGCCUGACAGUUGCAGUCAGAAAUAUGUGGAUUGGAGUUUGUGCAUCCAGAAAAGACACAGUUUUUACCAAAAAAAAAGACCGAAAUUCAAAUCACAGCUGCUUAGAUUCACAACCACCUCCUGGAAAGGACUCACUCAUGUGAUGCUUUUAAGAGAACUGCCCAAAAUAUCCACUUUUUCAUCUGAAUUUCUGCCGUUAUGUCUCAUAAAACAUAUAAA